rnacentral:rRNA from 1 species
GAUGAACGCUGGCGGCGUGCUUAACACAUGCAAGUCGAACGGGAUCCAUCAAGCUUGCUUGGUGGUGAGAGUGGCGAACGGGUGAGUAAUGCGUGACUAACCUGCCUUGUACUUUGGAAUAGCUCCUGGAAACGGGUGGUAAUGCCGAAUGUUCCACGUUAUCGCAUGAUGGUGUGGGAAAGGGUUUACUGGUAUGAGAUGGGGUCGCGUCCUAUCAGCUUGUUGGUGGGGUGAUGGCCUACCAAGGCUUCGACGGGUAGCCGGCCUGAGAGGGUGACCGGCCACAUUGGGACUGAGAUACGGCCCAGACUCCUACGGGAGGCAGCAGUGGGGAAUAUUGCACAAUGGGCGAAAGCCUGAUGCAGCGACGCCGCGUGCGGGAUGACGGCCUUCGGGUUGUAAACCGCUUUUAGCAAGGAGCAAGCGAGAGUGAGUGUACUUGUUGAAUAAGCGCCGGCUAACUACGUGCCAGCAGCCGCGGUAAUACGUAGGGCGCAAGCGUUAUCCGGAAUUAUUGGGCGUAAAGAGCUCGUAGGCGGCUUGUCGCGUCUGGUGUGAAAGUCCACUGCUUAACGGUGGAUUGGCGCCGGGUACGGGCAGGCUAGAGUGCAGUAGGGGAGACUGGAAUUCCCGGUGUAACGGUGGAAUGUGUAGAUAUCGGGAAGAACACCAAUGGCGAAGGCAGGUCUCUGGGCUGUUACUGACGCUGAGGAGCGAAAGCGUGGGGAGCGAACAGGAUUAGAUACCCUGGUAGUCCACGCUGUAAACGGUGGAUGCUGGAUGUGGGGCCCGUUCCGCGGGUUCUGUGUCGGAGCUAACGCGUUAAGCAUCCCGCCUGGGGAGUACGGCCGCAAGGUUAAAACUCAAAGAAAUUGACGGGGGCCCGCAC